AUAUCUGGGGGAAAUUUCUCAGCACACACUUUGUUGUGUAAUGUUGAAAUUGAUAAAUCGAAGCACAAUGCACCUAAGCUGAGUACAAUGUCCUAAGAGCUUCACUGAGUCUCUUUGUCUUAUAAUAGGAACAAGCUAGAUCUCAUGCAGCAGAUCUGUAAUCGAAUCUCCCAAUUUUUAUUUGCUUAAAAGAAUUUAACUGGGACCUCAAUUUGGAUUGGAAGAAAGCUGCUGGGUGAGAGCAGAUUAAGCCUUCCUCCGUGUCAUUUUCCAGAAUUAAAUCAGCCUUACCUUUUUCCUAAAGCUACUAUUAGCCAUAUGCAAGAGGCAAAAGGUAGCUGCACAUUAUGCUUGUCCCUUUCGCCUCAUUGCCAAUAGCAAAUGAGGAGGUGUGUGACUGACAUUGCAAAAGGUUUUUCACACACACAUCCAUAUAAUGCAAUGGCUUUGAUCCCCUCUCCUCCCAUGGCUACCUUUAAGCAAUCAUGGUUUUCCCACAUCACAUUUAUUACACACACACACACACACACUUUUGGGGGGCUGUCACUAGGGGCUAACCUAUGCAUGUUCCCAGAACAUAUUGCUUGUGUUCUUAAAGCUUUUCUCAUAGAAGCAAACAAGCAUCAAAAUGUUAAGUAGGCUGGGAUCCUUCUCUACAUUGUGAAGGAGUAGGAUUCAUCCUACUAGAAAGGCCAGGCCUCUGUGUUCCAGAAGCAAAGCAUGGUUUCACAGGCUCACUUAAAAUUCCGUGAGCUGUGCUGUAGGUAAGAUGGUGGAGAAUAUUCACUGAUGUACAUGUCCACAGUGACCAUGUAGUGCAAUCACUCUUGGAAGGUUGUUUGUUUGUUUAUUUGUUUGUUUGUUUGUUUGUUUGUUUUUGCAAUGGCAUGGAGUCAGGCAGCCAAAACUGUGAUUCAUGCAGACAUGCACACCAUGGUGUGCUGUUGAGCAGCAUGCAUGGGGGUCAAAUGUGCUGAAUUUGAUAUGAAUGGCUGCUAGGUGGUUGAAUGAAGUAGGACAGUGUGGUUGAAGUGUUGAUUAAAUUAUAAAUGGCUAGAAUCCUGUUUUAGAUGUCUUUUGUAAUGGGCUAUAUUUUUAAGUACUGUAGCAUAUAUUGGAUUUGUACUGGAGACUGCAUGGAUGAUACUCUUAGUUUAUGUUUUACUGGUCUUUUGAGUGGUGGUUUCCCACUAUUGUGACUGACGACGGCCUUUGGCUAAGCAAUAAUGAUUUGUAUUUGGGUGCUAAAUGCCUGCGUAAAACUGCCCAAGGGUUGCAUCUAAUUGUCAUCUCCCGAUAUUGCCGGUUUCAUGACUGAAUUUAAUUAGAUAUGAGAGGAGAGAUUGAUGGAUAAAAGGGGAACAGGGUUUCUGUUUUGUGUAAACCAUCUGAGAGGAAUUCAUCUGUUUGAUUAUGAAACUAGUGGUGGCCCCAACCAUUACUAGCUUGUAUUAGUCAUUUGUAGCCUAACAAAAUGAUUUGAAAAGCUUCCCUGCUUGGUGACCUGGAAUUCAUCCUUACCACCAGCAAGCAGGCAAGCAGCUAUUUACAAGCCUGUGCUGAACUAGCACAUAUGUUGACUCAAGACAGUCCUUCCAUAUGAAUUGCAGAGUACUGAAUACUUGGGCAUGGUUUGGCUAAUCAUUCCAGGCUUCAUGAAUCCUGGUUUAUGAAGCUAAAUAUGAGUAUCAAGGCCUAACGCUCCUCUUUCAUCCCUUCUAUGAGUGCAUGAUCCUGGUUUAUUUACCUUGUUUGUCAGCUGACAUUAAUCCAGAGUUCUCCUGUUCAGUUAGAAUGCAGAACUUAGCAUACAGAUCUUUGUACUGAAGCUGGCAUGCAGUCAUGAACCACAGUUUAUGAAGUCAAACCAGGCCUCUAUUUCAGCAUCUUUUCUCUGCUCCCGAUCUUGUAUCGGGCAAUGGGGCAUGUUUGUGGCUCAGGAAGGGAAAUACGCCAAUCAGCUUGGUGACACACACCCCCAGACACUUUUGAGUGUGAUGGGGGGCUCCUUAAGCCUGCACCUUCAGAAUUUAGGGCAGGAGCAGAAUAUGGAGUAUAUUUGGGAUCAGUCUGACUGAUCUACUCAGAAUUUUAGGGCCAAGGGGAGGUGAUACAGAAAGGCCUUUACACUCACCUUUAGGGUGGGGUUGGUACAAUGCCUCCCCUUAUCCUGGCAGGGGCUGGUUGCCCUACAGCUGCAGGUGCUUGCUGAAAAUUGGUAUGUAGCUCCCACACCGAUCGCUUUCUCACUGCAGGCUAUGCUAUGUUUAUUUUAAUGAAGUGGUCCAUAGUUCAACCAAUCUACCGUGUCAGAGAGUUUUCAUUUCAACCCUCGGCCACAGUGUCUGACAUCUAUAAAGCUUGCUGUCUGGAAUCAUCUUUCCACACAAGAUCACUUGUCUUCUCUAGUAGCUAAUUCUGUCCCCUGGAACACUGUGUUUCGGAGGCUAGUCUAUGGUCACCCAGCUGAAGCAAGCACAAAACUCUCCCGCCUCCACCGCUCACACACACACAUUAAAGUGGCAACAUGACUUUAAGUUUCAAAAUCUCUUUAUCUCAGCUUUGCAGUUCCAGUAGGUGAUAUGAGCAUUUAAUGCCUCAGGUUGCCUGCCGAGUCGAAGAGCAGCAGAGAAUGGCCUUGGUGCAUAAGCAGCCCAGGAGGCACAAUUACUUUCCAAAAUAGGGAGUUAAGAAGAAAUGAGAGUGAGAUGGGCCUUCUCCUCAGAUGUUGGCAUCCUAAGGAUUUUAUCUCCCUGUCCGUCAUUGAAGUCUGUACCUUGUUGAGUUUAAUACAUUUGCUGUGGUAUUUCAACCAGUCAAGCAUGCUGGCCUUUCUUCUUGUUGUCUGUGUGGCAUUAAAUGCUGAUUCAUAGUUUACAAUAAUCUCAUAUCUUCCAACAUUUCUCCAAUGAAAAUAGGAAUGUCAGUUGCCAUUUUUCUAGAAAAAUAGGAGCUGGAACACACCUCCCUUGUUCUCUUAGAAUGGCAGUGGUGCCCACCUGAGAGGUGCCAGCUGAAAAAAAAAGCUCUGGGUAUAUCCUAUUCCAUACCCUCCAACAUUUCUCCAAUGAAAACAGGGACUAUUUAAAGAAAAGCAGAACAUCCCGGGAUCAAAUCAGAAACUGGGAUGGCUUCUGUAAAUCCGGGACUGUCCCUGGAAUAAUAGGGAAACUUGAAGGGUAUGUAAUUUCCUUUUCACUUAUGUCUGAUGAUGAGCAGUUCAUGUGUGGACAUGUUAAAUGUCAGAUGUAGGUUGCAGGAUGGUAGAUCUACAAGGCAUGUUCAGGUAUUCACCUGAACAUGUACACACUGAAACUGCAUAUGGGGGGUGGGCAUUUAAGUUAGCCUCUAGCACUUAAUCCCUGGCCAUCUCCAUGUUGGGUGAGGAAGGUCUGCAGAAAGUUUAUAUAUUAUGGUGUGGAAGAUUGUUAAGUAAAACCUGGAAGGACACAAUUUGCUCACUUGAGUAAGAGAAGGAGCAAGUUAUUUUUGCCAUUUAUUUUUUUUCAUUCAUAAAAACUACCUAACUCUGUAAUUACCCUUGCAUGUGCUGCAUUGUCCAUUGGCCAGUAGUCAGUUGUGGGAGGAAAUCAUUCUGGGUUGUUGUUUUCCAUUUCCUUGAUGGACAGUAUCUGUUUGGCCAUUUGUGAAAUUUUGAAUGCUUUCAGCAAAUAUUCCAUCACUGUAGGUAGGGCAGAAAUAAUUUGACUUGUCUUCCUUUUGCUCACAUCAAAAGAAGCAUAAUAGACCAAACCACCAUGCAACUUCCAUUGACUAAAAAUAUGAAAUUGGAGGUCUUUAGAUACUUUCCAGUGAAGUCUUGGAAUUCAAAAUGCCUUGCUAUUGUUCAUAUCUUUACGUCUUCUUACAAACUCAGAGGGCUAUGGAAUUCAUAUUUUUCUUAAGAAUACAACCAAUCCAAACUACAAUCCAAAAUUCUGACAGUUUUACCAUUAUUUUAAAAUAAUUGCAGUUUUAGUUCAAUUGUGGGGAUCAAAUCCCUUUUAGUCUUAAAUUGUCUAUAUAAUAAGCUAGACAUGCAGCCAUAACACAGUGUUGGUUUCACUAUUAGAUUUCUUCCAGCCUGGUAAAAAUCAGUCUGCCACCACUUCAAUGCACGGUGAAAUGUAAUCGGCAUUAAUGUGAAAAUACCAUUUUAGUGGGUCUUUUUAUUUCCUCUGGAUUGCAAAGAAUAUUUAGUAGGGAUCUUCAGUGCAAACCCCUUUGAAAUGAGCUUUGAGGAUAGUUUCUUGGAUAAAACAUGUCAUUACAGAGAAGGUGCAGAUAACCUUGAUCUUCCAGGUGUUACUUCAGCAACAUAGCUCUCAUUAUCCUUGGACAUUGGGCCAUGCUGCCUGGGGCUGCUUUAGAGGAAAUGAACAGAUUUUUAAGGCUGCAUGUAUGCUGCACAUUGGAAUCUGUAUUAAAAUUCAAUUUAAUUGUCAUGGUUUUCCCAAGGAACAUUGGGGAAUGUGGUUUUGUGAGGAUGCCAAAAGGAGCAUAUGAAGCUACUGUACCCUGUCAGGACAUGAGUCUACCUAUGUUCCAUUCCAGUACUGUCUACUCUGAUAAGGCAAAUCUAAAGAAAUGUAGUAUAAACACUGACAACUGGGAAACACUGGCCUGCAAGCAUUCCAAUUGGAGAACAGCCUUUACCAAAGGUGUCAUGGGCUUUGAAGACACUCAAACUCAGAAUGAAAGGGAGACCCGAGCUAAGAGGAAGGCAUGUUUGACAAACCCUCACCAUGAUCAACUCCCACCCAGAAACCUAUGUCCCCACUGUGGAAGGACGUGUGGAUCCAGAAUUGGCCUCCACAGUCACUUACGGACUCACUGUUAAAACUGUGUUUAUGGAAGACAAUCUUACUCGGCUACGAGUGAUCGCCAAAGUGUUAUGCCCUCUCCUCAAAAUUAACACAAGAAGAGCUUGUUGGAUCCCAUCUAGUCUAGUUGAGAAUCUUGCAGUACAGCAACCUGUUCUUGCAGUAGCCAGUGAGAUGCUUCUGGGAUGGCUGCAAGCAUCACCUGAGUGCAACAUCAGUCUCCCCCAUCCAUGAUUCCCAACAACAGCUAUAAAGAGGCAAGGCUGGUAUCCACUGAUACCUUUAUCCUCUCAAUUAUGGAUCCUUAUGCCCUUCACGGGGACGCGGGUGGCGCUGUGGUCUAAACCACAGAGCCUAGGGCUUGCUGAUCAGAAGGUCGGCAGUUCGAAUCCCCGUGAAGGGGUGAGCUCCCGUUGCUUGGUCCCUGCUCCUGCCCAUCUAGCAGUUCAAAAGCACAUCAAAGUGCAAGUAGAUAAAUAGGCACCGCUCCGGCGGGAAGGUAAACAACGUUUCUGUGUGCUGCUCUGGUUUGCCAGAAGCGACUUAGUCAUGCUGGCCACAUGACCCGGAAGCUGUCUGCGGACAAACUCCAGCUCCCUCGGCCAGUAAAACAAGAUGAGUACCGAAACCCCAGAGUCGUCUGCAACUGGACUUAACGGUCAAGGGUCCCUUUCCCUUUAUGCCCUUCACAGCACUACAUCUUCACAUCAAAAUGUCUCAUUUUGUGUACGAUUUUGCCUAAUAUACCUAUAUACAUAUUUUGUUCCUUGAGAUGGGCUCCCUCCCAGUGCUUAGUGUUAAGACCAAGCUCUGGUUUUAGAAAUUCUGAAGAGUGUCUUGGACUUGGAAUACUAUUUUUGUAAAAUUUAUUUUUAUUAAAGAUUUUCUUGGUUUACAAAAGUACACGUGCCUUGUCUCUUUUUUUCCAGGUUGUACAGUCUUUCUUUUAAUUGCAGAACUGUUUGCUAUUUUUCACCCACUUCUGGGGAAAGUAGCAUUUUCUCCUAGGUGAACGAUUUCUACCCCUCUCCUUGCCACACACAAAAUCUUCCUGAACCCCAGCAAGCUAGCGAUGAAGCAUAACUCCUGCUGCGGUUGAUAGCAGAAGAAACUAAUCAAUAGCAGGGAAGAUGAACUGGAUGUAUUUGACACUCAGUAGAAAUCCUAUUCUGAAUACGCAGCAGAGAUCAGCAAAACUGAAUGCACUUCUAUUCACCUGUUCCUAUUAAAUGAGAAAUGUUAUUUGGUGGAAAGGAUAUUUGUGUUGCCGUUGUUGUUUUUUUACCUGGAAUGAUGCCUGCUGGAAAUGGAAACUCUGGCAAUUGUUGUUGUUUUUUUAAUUGGUUUGCAUUUGUUUGAAUGCCAACAGGGGUUAUCCUGAAAACUGGCCUCUUUGCUCAUUAUGGCAUUUAAUUGAAUACUGGAGAAAUAUUAAGUGCUUUACAGAGGUUCAACAUUGGGCCAUUGAGAUCUCAGCACCUGCAAAAUUCUGCUAUCUCAAAGCUUAAUUUGGUGCAUUGCUCAUAUAGACUGCAAAUAGCCCAGCGCUUUGUGGGAGCCCCAAUGUGAACAUAAUAGUCUCAUGCCAGACAGGCUUCCUCCAUUCAUUUAAGUGUAUGGAAAAGUCCAGCAUGAGCAAUAGAUCUGCAUCCUGGAAUACUGAAGUGAAUAAGGCAGCCGUGGCUCACACAGAGCAUUAAAGCACACAUAAACUCCAGGCGGGAGCAAGAAAAACACCUGGUUUUUUUUUUAAAAAAACUGUGGGACAGAAUUGGAUGAAAUUUCCAGGCAAGGUUGGCUCCUGCCAAAUUGCAGAAGUGCUUUCCCCACAAGGGUAGUAUGUACACUUAAGGGUGGAUAAAAAGGGAACCGUUCGAUCUCCCUUACAGUUUUGUGGGCAAUUGGUUUGGAAAUUGAAGACUCAAGUGAAAUUUCCCUGGGCCAGAAACCUGCUGAAUUGCACAUCAAUGGCCCCAAUGGGAGUUGUGCUGGGCACCAUUUAAACUGAUUGAGAGUGGACUGAAAAGGAAUGUACUUUUCAGGUAAAACUAUUCCCCCUGGUUACAAGCUUUACCUAGCAGUCACAGUGGAACUCUCCCUCCACCUUCUCACCCUGCUGUUUGCUUACCCUAACACUCAUCACUCCAUAUGGUAAGCUUGGAAGUGCUUAGUUUUGUUUUUAGCAGUUGCCUGUUUCCAGCAUCUUGUUUGUUUUUAACAUCAGGAUUGCUGAGGCACCAUGAAACACUGACAGGGUCCCUCCUGUGAUUGUCACCUCAUGCUGAUCCCUCGUUGCCUAAGAGCAGUAGGCUUGUAAUCUGGGGGACCGGGUUCGCGUCUCCGCUCCUCCACAUGCAGCUGCUGGGUGACCUUGGGCCAGUCACACUUCUCUGAAGUCUCUCAGCCCCACUCACCUCACAGAGUGUUUGUUGUGGGGGAGGAAGGGAAAGGAGAAUGUUAGCUGCUUUGAGCCUCCUUUGGGUAGUGAUAAAGCGGGAUAUCAAAUCCAAACUCCUCCUCUCCUUCUUCUGACAAGCCCAAGAACCCUCCAGGGUGCUCCAUUUCAGCUUGAAAUUUCCCCGUAUGUGAUGCAUACCCAUAGUUAUUUGCCUGGAGGAAACUUAACCUCAGCCUCAAAGAGGCUUUAAGUAUUAGACACACCCCAUUCACAUGGACUCCAAACAGCAUAUGGCUGGUUGUAUAUUGGCUGGGUCCAUAUGCAGACUUGUUUUGAUAGCAGGUGUAGCUUGCCACAAAAGUGCUAUGCUCAUAGCAGGGGAGGAAAUCUACUCUCUAGCAAGGGCCCCAUUACAGUGGUAUCUCGGUUUAAGAACAGUCCUGUUUAAGAACAAUUUGGUUUACAAACUCCUCAAAACCAGAAACCGUGCCCUGGUGUGAGAACCUUACCUCGGUCUAAGAAUGGAAUCCAAAGGGUGGAAGGGCACUGGCGGCAGGAAGCCUCAUUAAGGAAAGCGUGCCUCAGUUUAAGAAUGGUUUUGGUUUAAGAACGGACUUCCGGAACGGAUUAAGUUCGUAAACCGAGGUACCACUGUACCCCCAAGGGUCAGUGGUGAUGGGUGCAUUUCUCUUUCCCCACCCAUGGAUCCAUCUAUGGGUCCAUUGAGUUGCGUAUGGAAAGGCAGAGAUCCACAUGAAAAAGAAACACAACAUUUCAUCCCUCUCCCAUAUCAUUGUGCUUGGAGUGCCCUAGGAAAAGGAUUCACUCUGGUUAAAAGACAGACCUGUCCAUCAAAAUGAAAGAUACCUCCACUCCCAAUCAACCUCUCACCAGUCAGCUUGGUUUCCAUUCAGUGGGGAAACAGUUGUAUGUGGUGUGAAAGCUAAGGGAGUCUCUGAUCCAACUCAAGAUAUUUUGUUUUGUUGUAGUAGUUGUUGCUGCUGUUGUUGUUUCUUAUAAUGAGGUGAUUACAGUAAACCUGUUCAAUUAAUUCUUU